rnacentral:rRNA from 1 species
AAUGAACGCUGGCGGCGUGCCUUACACAUGCAAGUCGAGCGAGGCGGCCCGCAAGGGUCAGUCGAGCGGCGGACGGGUGAGUAACGCGUGGAUAACCUGCCCAGAGGUGGGGGAUAACCCGGGGAAACUCGGGCUAAUACCGCAUGAUACCGAGAGGUCAAAGGGGGCUCGCAAGAGCUCUCGCCAUUGGAGGGGUCCGCGUCCGAUUAGCUAGUUGGUAGGGUAAUGGCCUACCAAGGCGACGAUCGGUAGCCGGCCUGAGAGGGUGAUCGGCCACACUGGAACUGAGACACGGUCCAGACUCCUACGGGAGGCAGCAGUGGGGAAUUUUGCGCAAUGGGCUAACGCCUGACGCAGCAACGCCGCGUGGAGGAUGAAGGUCUUUGGAUUGUAAACUCCUGUCAGCAGGGAAAAAGCAAAUCGGCCUAACACGCCGGUGAGUUGAUUGUACCUGCAGAGGAAGCCCCGGCUAACUCUGUGCCA